rnacentral:tmRNA from 1 species
GGGGGCGAACUAGAUUCGACGGGGAUGGACGGGGUGCCGAAUAGCGAGCCGAGCUCUGCGACUCGAUAAACCGCAGGAAACCAAUAAGUGCCAACGAAUCUAACGAUUCUUUCGAAUACGCUUUAGCUGCUUAAUCCCAGCUAACGUGGCCUAAUCAGGUUCCUGCCCUUGAUGAGGCUACGUAAACGAGGCAGGAUACUGCAUUGGUUGCCCAGCCACUGCAGGAAUUUACGGGCUGGCCUGUCAGGUCCGUGCUCCGGACGGGUUUGUCAGGUGAGAGUAAAUCUGGAGCUACGCUCGUAGAAGUUCGGUAUCACGUGUCUUCGGACGGGACGGGCAGCACGUCCCCGCCUCCACCA